GACGGAGGGUGCAAGCGUUGCUCGGAAUCACUGGGCGUAAAGGGUGCGCAGGCGGCCAAGUGUGUGAGGCGUGAAAGCCCGGGGCUCAACUCCGGAACUGCCUUUAAGACUGCAUCGCUUGAAUCCGGGAGAGGUGAGUGGAAUUCCGAGUGUAGAGGUGAAAUUCGUAGAUAUUCGGAAGAACACCAGUGGCGAAGGCGGCUCACUGGACCGGUAUUGACGCUGAGGUGCGAAAGCGUGGGGAGCAAACAGG
rnacentral:rRNA from 1 species